UCUGUGAUUAUAAAUGACCGUUCAAACUUGAAAAAAGUGCUGCGCCGAGUGUAUAUAAUACCACCUAAACUAGACCCAUUAUCACCAUUUUGGAAACCGCUAAGAAAAGACGAGAUGGACAUCAAAGACGGUGUGUCUGUAUUUUAACUUUACUGUGUUAUUUUGUAAUGGUUAAAAUCCGAUAUUAACAGCCUUCAUACCGACUAUCUUUGCAGAAGCUGUUGUCCCUGGGGCUCACGAUGUCUAUAUCGAGACUGAUUCAAGAAAUGAAAUUUAUAUUCAAAUAGAUUCAUCGAACCAUGAUGUUAUUGAUGAUAAUGAUGAUACGGAUGAAAAUCCUUUACAGAACGAAACAGUUUCUCAAAGGGAUU